rnacentral:lncRNA from 1 species
UACAGAUGGAACUAUUUACAUGUGAAGGCAAUGGAACAGCCUUGUUAUCAGACAAGAUGUCAUCAUUACAAGAAACAGACACAGAAGGCAAUGCAAUAACUUUGCUAUCAUUACAAGAAACAGAUACAGGACAAACAGAAGUAGAGGAACAACUAACAGAGGAAGAAGGGGAAGGAGGGACCCAAGCCAGUUUAUAUAAGCUAGCAACUUCUCUACCAAGAUCCAGAGGCCUCCUCAGAGAAGGGUCCUGUAUCAUCUGUAGUAAGCAGGAAUGUUCAGUGAACAUAACUAUACAAUGCAACUGCUUCACUAACUUGUGACUCCUGUAUCAUGUGUAGUAAGCAGGAAGGUUCAGUGAACAUAACUAUACAAUGCAACUGGUUCACUAACUUGUGAACAGAAAUCAAGUUGUGUUUAAAAGAAGGAACUAGCAGCACAUUGUGAAGAGUGAUGGAAGGAGUCAGUGCAAAAGAGCCUGUGCAUGUCACUUUCACUUUAUAGCCAUUAGGAAGAGUGACAAGAUAUGGCAGAGUUAAGGGUGUGAUGUUAAAAAGUAACUGUUUAUCUUGUGUCAUGUGAUUAGAGGCACCUGAAUCUAUAAUCCAGGUGACGGAGUUAAUAUUAGUAAGUAAGCAAAGUUUGGAAUCAGAAAUAGGGUUCUCAGUUAACAUAGUAUCAGCAAAGUUUGCAGCAUAUAUGGGAGGAGGAGUAUGAGCAGUGGAGUCCCCUAACUUGGUAUGGUGUAAUAAAUUCAUCAACUGGUCAUAAUCUUGUCUGCUCAACCCUGGUAUCACAGAGCUC